AAGACUAUACUUUCAGGGAUCAUUUCUAUAGUUUGUAACUGGUGAAAUGCGCUCGAAAGUGUCAAAUUCAGUAACCGCGAGGACGAGCUGCAGUGUUCUUUCUUGAGCGUAAAGUAGACUCUCAAUGCUGCCACAGUGUAGCUGCUAGAGUCUUUGAUUGUUCUGCUCCUUUUAAUCGGGGAGCUGGAGGGAGAGAACACAAGCCGAGCGGU
rnacentral:snoRNA from 1 species